rnacentral:rRNA from 1 species
UACGUAGGGUGCAAGCGUUGUCCGGAAUCAUUGGGCGUAAAGAGCUCGUAGGCGGUUCGUCGCGUCGGCUGUGAAAUCCCGAGGCUCAACCUCGGGUCUGCAGUCGAUACGGGCGGACUGGAGUUCGGCAGGGGAGACUGGAAUUCCUGGUGUAGCGGUGAAAUGCGCAGAUAUCAGGAGGAACACCGGUGGCGAAGGCGGGUCUCUGGGCCGAUACUGACGCUGAGGAGCGAAAGCGUGGGGAGCGAACAGG